rnacentral:rRNA from 1 species
CCUACGGGAGGCAGCAGUGGGGAAUAUUGGACAAUGGGCGAAAGCCUGAUCCAGCAAUGCCGCGUGAGUGAUGAAGGCCUUCGGGUCGUAAAGCUCUUUUACCAGGGAUGAUAAUGACAGUACCUGGAGAAUAAGCUCCGGCUAACUCCGUGCCAGCAGCCGCGGUAAUACGGAGGGAGCUAGCGUUGUUCGGAAUUACUGGGCGUAAAGAGUACGUAGGCGGUUAUUCAAGUCAGAGGUGAAAGCCCGGGGCUCAACCCCGGAACUGCCUUUGAAACUAGAUAACUAGAGUCUUGGAGAGGUUAGUGGAAUUCCGAGUGUAGAGGUGAAAUUCGUAGAUAUUCGGAAGAACACCAGUGGCGAAGGCGACUAACUGGACAAGUACUGACGCUGAGGUACGAAAGCGUGGGGAGCAAACAGGAUUAGAUACCCUGGUAGUCCACGCCGUAAACGAUGAUAACUAGUUGUUCGGUCACUUGGUGACUGAGUGACGCAGCUAACGCAUUAAGUUAUCCGCCUGGGGAGUACGGUCGCAAGNUUAAAACUCAAAAGUAUAUACGACGNGNGAGAGCGACGACGACGACGACGGAGGAGAG